rnacentral:misc_RNA from 1 species
CGAGCACUGUUUCCAACAAAAAUCUAGGAUCUUGGCAGUAACCACUAUCUGUUUUACUCUUUCCUCUUUCACUUUUCGCUAGGAGUAAUCAUUAGCUCCCAUCUUGUAUUAAUUUUUUUUUUUUUUUACUGUAUCUAAUUUCCAAAAAAAAAAAAUCUGUGUGUUUGCAACUAAGUUAUCUUCCUAUGUGUAACUUUUUGGGACUUAAGUGAUAACAGUAAUAUUACUAAAAAUCAACCGUAUUGUUGUUUUUCACUGUGGUUUAUUCCUUCUGACUGCUGUGAUAUUUUGUGUGGAUCUGCUGAAGUUAAUUUAUCCACUCUUCUGUUGAUGGGCCUUUGGUCAUUUCCAGGUUUUUGCUCUUCUGAAGAGCAUGAGAUAUUCUUUCA